UACGGAGGGUGCGAGCGUUGUUCGGAAUUACUGGGCGUAAAGGGCUCGUAGGCGGCCAACUAAGUCAGACGUGAAAUCCCUCGGCUUAACCGGGGAACUGCGUCUGAUACUGGAUGGCUUGAAUCCGGGAGAGGGAUGCGGAAUUCCAGGUGUAGCGGUGAAAUGCGUAGAUAUCUGGAGGAAUACCGGUGGCGAAGGCGGCAUCCUGGACCGGCAUUGACGCUGAGGAGCGAAAGCUAGGGGAGCAAACGGG
rnacentral:rRNA from 1 species